AUUGAACGCUAGCGGGAUGCUUUACACAUGCAAGUCGAACGGCAGCGCGGACUUCAGUCUGGCGGCGAGUGGCGAACGGGUGAGUAAUGUAUCGGAACGUGCCCAGUAGCGGGGGAUAACUACGCAAAAGCGUAGCUAAUACCGCAUACGCCCUACGGGGGAAAGCAGGGGAUCGUAAGACCUUGCACUAUUGGAGCGGCCGAUAUCGGAUUAGCUAGUUGGUGAGGUAACGGCUCACCAAGGCGACGAUCCGUAGCUGGUUUGAGAGGACGACCAGCCACACUGGGACUGAGACACGGCCCAGACUCCUACGGGAGGCAGCAGUGGGGAAUUUUGGACAAUGGGGGCAACCCUGAUCCAGCCAUCCCGCGUGUGCGAUGAAGGCCUUCGGGUUGUAAAGCACUUUUGGCAGGAAAGAAACGUCGCGGGCUAAUACCCCGUGGAACUGACGGUACCUGCAGAAUAAGCACCGGCUAACUACGUG
rnacentral:rRNA from 1 species